UACGAAGGGGGCUAGCGUUGCUCGGAAUCACUGGGCGUAAAGCGCACGUAGGCGGCUUUCUAAGUCAGGGGUGAAAUCCUGGAGCUCAACUCCAGAACUGCCUUUGAUACUGGAGAGCUUGAGUCCGGGAGAGGUGAGUGGAACUCCGAGUGUAGAGGUGAAAUUCGUAGAUAUUCGGAAGAACACCAGUGGCGAAGGCGGGUCCCUGGACAGUUCCUGACACUGAGACACGAAGGCCAGGGGAGCAAACGGG
rnacentral:rRNA from 1 species